GAAUUAAGCAUAUCAAUAAGCGGAGGAAAAGAAACUAACAAGGAUUCCCCUAGUAACUGCGAGUGAAGCGGGAAAAGCUCAAAUUUAAAAUCUGGCGGUCUUUGGCCGUCCGAGUUGUAGUCUGGAGAAGCGUCUUCCGCGCUGGACCGUGUAUAAGUCUCUUGGAACAGAGCGUCAUAGAGGGUGAGAAUCCCGUCUUUGACACGGACUACCAGUGCUUUGUGAUGCGCUCUCAAAGAGUCGAGUUGUUUGGGAAUGCAGCUCAAAAUGGGUGGUGAAUUCCAUCUAAAGCUAAAUAUUGGCGAGAGACCGAUAGCGAACAAGUACCGUGAGGGAAAGAUGAAAAGCACUUUGGAAAGAGAGUUAAACAGUACGUGAAAUUGCUGAAAGGGAAACGCUUGAAGUCAGUCGCGUUGUCCGGGACUCAGCCUUGCUUCGGCUUGGUGCACUUUCCGGAUGACGGGCCAGCAUCGAUUUUGACCGCUGGAAAAGGGCUGGAGGAAUGUGGCACCUUCGGGUGUGUUAUAGCCUCCAGUCGCAUACGGCGGUUGGGAUCGAGGAACGCAGCACGCCUCGUGGCGGGGGUUUACCCACCUUCGUGCUUAGGAUGCUGGCAUAAUGGCUUUAAACGACCCGUCUUGAAACACCGGACCAA
rnacentral:rRNA from 1 species